rnacentral:rRNA from 1 species
ACGGAGGGUGCGAACGUUAAUCGGAAUCACUGGGCGUAAAGCGCGCGUAGGCGGUCUGUUAAGUGGGAUGUGAAAUCCCCGGGCUUAACCUGGGAAUUGCAUUUCAAACUGGCCGACUAGAGUACGGUAGAGGGAGGUAGAAUUUCCUGUGUAGCGGUGAAAUGCGUAGAUAUAGGAAGGAAUACCAGUGGCGAAGGCGGCCUCCUGGAUCGAUACUGACGCUGAGGCGCGAAAGCGUGGGGAGCAAACAGGAUUAGAUACCCUGGUAGUCCACGCCGUAAACGAUGAGAACUAGCCGUUGGACCCCUUGAGGGUUUAGUGGCGUAGCUAACGCGAUAAGUUCUCCGCCUGGGGAGUACGGCCGCAAGGCUA